GUUGACUCAAAACUAAUGAAACGUGGGGCAAGUAAACUGGAUAAUUAUGCAUCAAAAAUACGCGUGGAGGAGGACUCAAGUCAUUUAAACAAGCUACCACAAAAGCCCCUUCCUCUCCACUCUCCAUCUUCUGUAGUUGUGAUUAGGCUCUCUCUCCUCUCCUCUCGUAGCCUUGUUCGGGUUGGGUUGCAGAGCUCAGGGUGACAUAAAACCAUAAGAUCCUAAAGAAGCCUAAAAAUGGGUAUUGUAGUGAUAUCACUGCCUGUGAUACUGUUCAUCUUGAUUGUAGCAUUGGCAUUUUACCUUCUUGGAAGGGCACGGGGUCGAAGCCAAGCCGCAAGAGUUCCGCAUUAUCCAGCACCUCCAUUCCAUGCCGCAUUAUCCAGCACCUCCAUUCCAUGCCGCGUCUCCACCCCAGGAUAAAUCAGCACAGGUCUAGAAUUAUGGUUCUUAUGUGCUUGUGAAAAUUUGGGUGGUGGAAGUACAGCUCUCUCUAGUUGCAUUUUUGUGCUCAGAAUGGUUCUUAUGAGUUAUGUGUUUGUGUAAUGUCUAUUGCAAGAUGAAAAGACGGGUGACAAGAAGCUGAGUUUCUGUAAUAUAUGUGUUUAUAUUGUAAAUGAAUGAAUUGGUUACAUAUAUAUACAGUUUAAACUAAACUAGUGAACAGAGUUGUGUAA